UCGUCAUGGAAGAUAAUCCUUACCUGCUCCUUCUUUGGAGGGAAGAUUAGAACAUGAUGAUUGGAGAAAAAAAUUACAGAUACAAAUAUAUGCACAGGCAGAU
rfam:Pteropus alecto contig36896, whole genome shotgun sequence.